GGCCUUUUGAUAAUAAUUUAAGGUCGGGCCUGCCCAAUGAUUAAUUUAAUGGCCGCGGUAUAUUAACUGUGCAAAGGUAGCAUAAUCAUUAGUUUUUUAAUUGAAAGCUGGAAUGAAGGGUUUAAUGAAAAAAGUUCUGUCUCUACUUAAAUUUGUUAGAAAUUUAUUUUUAAGUUAAAAAGCUUAAAUAGUUAUUAAAGACGAGAAGACCCUAUAGAGUUUUAUAUCUAGAGAAUAUAUUUUAUUUAGAAUUUUAAAAUUAUGUUUUUCAGGUAUUUUGUUGGGGUGAUAGAAAAAUUUAAUAAACUUUUUUUAAAAAGAACAUUUAUAUAUGAAUAUUUGAUCCUUUUUUAAGAUUAAAAGAUAAAAUUACCUUAGGGAUAACAGCGUAAUUUUUUUUAGAGUUCUUAUCGAAAGAAAAGAUUGCGACCUCGAUGUUGGAUUAAAAUUAAUUUUUGGCGCAAAAGCUAAAGAGAUUGGGUCUGUUCGACCUUUAAAUUUUUACAUGAUCUGAGUUUAGACCGGUUUGAG
rnacentral:rRNA from 1 species